rnacentral:tRNA from 1 species
GGGCGGUUAGCGCAGCGGUAGCGCGCUUCCCUGACACGGAAGAGGUCACUGGUUCGAUCCCAGUACCGCCCA